rnacentral:lncRNA from 1 species
GUGUUGUUGUCCGUCUCAGGGGCUAUUACAUUUUGGUUGCAUGUUUUCUUGAGAACUUCACUCAAUCCAUCAAGAUGCUAUACACUGUCAUGCUUUAAAAGAUUUAAUGUUCAAAGUUCAACUUUUGCGACUUUUUAGUGUACUCCAUUCGUAUCUGUGGACCGAAGGAAGCAAUACAUACCUCAGAUAGUCUUAUAUUAGUCCUUAUUU